GCCAGGCACAGUGGCGCAUGCCUGUAAUCCCAGCGGCUUGGGAGGCUGAGACAGAAGAAUCAUGGGUUCAAAGCCAGCCUCAGCAAUAGCAAGGUACUAAACAACUCAGUGAGACUCUGUCUCUA
rnacentral:sRNA from 1 species